rnacentral:piRNA from 1 species
GUGGAGGAGGGAGACGGGUGUGUUUGCG